CCUACGGGAGGCAGCAGUGAGGAAUAUUGGUCAAUGGGCGCGAGCCUGAACCAGCCAAGUAGCGUGAAGGAUGACUGCCCUACGGGUUUUAAACUUCUUUUAUAAAGGAAUAAAGUGAGGCACGUGUGCCUUUUUGUAUUUACUUUAUGAAUAAGGAACGGCUCACUCAGUGCCAGCAGCCGCGGUAAUACAGAGGAUCCGAGCGUUAUCCGGAUUUAGUGGGUUUAAAGGGAGCGUAGAUGGGUUGUUAAGUCAGUUGUGAAAGUUUGCGGCUCAACCGUAAAAUUGCAAUUGAUACUGGCAGUCUUGAGUACAGUUGAGGUAGGCGGAAUUCGUGGUGUAGCGGUGAAAUGCGUAGAGAUCACGAAGAACUCCGAUUGCGAAGGCAGCUUACUAAACUGCCACUGACAUUGAGGCUCGAAAGUGUGGGUAUCAAACAGGAUUAGAUACCCCUGUAGUC
rnacentral:rRNA from 1 species